rnacentral:rRNA from 1 species
AACGAACGCUGGCGGCAUGCCUAACACAUGCAAGUCGAACGAGACCUUCGGGUCUAGCGGCGCACGGGUUCGUAACGCGUGGGAAUCUGCCCUUGGGUUCGGAAUAAUAGUUGGAAACGACUGCUAAUACCGGAUGAUGACGUAAGUCCAAAGAUUUAUCGCCCAAGGAUGAGCCCGCGUAGGAUUAGCUAGUUGGUGAGGUAAAGGCUCACCAAGGCGACGUUCCUUAGCUGGUCUGAGAGGAUGGUCCGCCACACUGGGACUGAGACACGGCCCAGACUCCUACGGGAGGCAGCAGUGGGGGAUAUUGGACAGCGGGGGAAGGCAUGAUGCAGCAAUGCCGGGUGAGUGAUGAAGGCCGUAGGGAUGUAAAGCGCUUUUACCCGGGAUGAUAAUGACAGUACCGGGAGAAUAAGCUCCGGCUAACUCCGUG